GUAGGCAGCCGUCAGCUGGACGGAAUCCUGGAUGGCCGUCGAGAUGUUUGGAACCGAGCCGUGGAUCAGGAUUUGCAAACCCGUCUGGUCCGUGGCACAGAAAAAUUGCUUUCCGUGGACACCUGCAAGAUCUGAUUGAUUGCAAGUUCUACUCUGCUCUCCACCAUGCCGGCACGGCAUUUUGCAUCGCCGCUGUCGAGAGGCCUGCAUCAGACCAACAGGUCGCCGCCGGUAAUGGAGUUCCUACUUCAGCCAAUCAGGCGAUCUAUUCUUAUUGAGGGGGUUGAAAAAAGUGUGUUGCCAGGUGAUUUGCUGGGGAGCAGGAAUGCGGUGCCGGACGCCGUUGGUGGAGCAGGCUCCGUCGGCGGUGGGUGCGGAAGCAAGCAUCUUGGAGGUAGAUGCAGCAAUGGCUGUGAGGCGGGAGGGUUCCCCAAAAUCCUCUAAGCUUUCAACAGGGAAUAUGAACCCGGAAUCACCGGGGUGGGAUAAGAGAGUGGAUCAUUGGAUGGAUCAUUACUUCAGUUCACAAAAUGUCAGCGUGUUGGCUGUGAUAAAAACUGUUUACUGAGAAUUGUAUUGAAAAUGCUACAUUUUGAGGAUCAGAGCUGCUGCCCCCAGAAGGUCGUCCUGCCCAUCACGUGUGAGCGCUUUUGAGAAAGCGGUAAUGUUUUCUGCUGAUAACCCAACUGAAAACGUUAUUACUCUGGUGCUUGGGACAAGCUUCGAUUCCCUUGACGAGGCUUACGAUUUCUACAAAUUGUAUUCUUGGGAGAAGGGUUUUGGGAUCAGAUACGGAAAGAGACGGCGGAAUGUGGAGAGAACAAAAUGCAUGUAGGAAAUAGUAUGCGGCUGCUUGGGUAAAGCAGGAGUUGAGAGCACCACCUCUUGUCAUCGUUAAUACUUACUCUUAUAAGAUUAUUGCGCACAAAGGAUAAUGGUUGGUACAUUGCGGAGCAUUCAUUCCAUUUCACCACAUUUUGGAGUGAACAAUCCACUGGCUGUCGCACAAACACAUAUAAGUGCACAACAAAGAUCUAAUAAGGAAGCCAAGGAAGCUAAGCAUGGAGCAAGCAGACGAUGAUGUAAGGAAAACCAUGGAGCAAGCAGAAUUAGGAGCUAAGGAUCCGCAAUUCAUGUACAGAGUUCAGGCUGACAACGAAGGGUGGAUAAAAAUUCUAAUGUGGGCCAACGGCAACAGCAGGCUGCAAUACACUUCCUUUGGAGAUGUCAUAACAUGUGACAACGUAUCGGACAAAUCUGUACGAUAUGUCUUUCAGGCUGUUUUUGGGAGCGAAUAACCAGUUCAAGAGUGUUAUCCUGGCUGGGGUUCUAGUACAAGACGACACAGAUGAAAGUUUUGGGUGGGUUUUUUCAGAGUUUCUAAGGAUGAUGGGAAGUGCUGCCCCAAUGACAAUACUUAGUGGUUUGUUGAUAUGUGUUAGCUAGAAAUGUCUGUCAAGUAGUCCUGAAUAUGCUGAUGCUUCUUGUACUCUGGAAUUUGCAGAACAAAAUCAAGCUAUGGAUCUUGCGAUCAAGAGUGUCAUGCCUGACACUGCUCGCAGGUGGUACAAGUGGCACGUGCUGAAAAAGCUAAGGGGACUUUAGGGCCUCUUUACGUGAUACUACCAUCACCUGGGAGAUCGAUGUACAACUCGCUGAUUGCUUAAGGGUUUGUUUUGCAAAUUGAGUGACUUGACACAUCAUUAUCGGGGGCAGCCAGGGUGGCACAUGAAGUGGGGUUGUGCUGGUCGUGGUACGUCCGCAAGAGCGCAUUUCCUGGUUUGGGGUUGUAGCAGGAAACUUGGACGAUGUCUCCGUCUUGGAAGAGUGUUUGCGUUGUCCGAAACAAAUAGUAGAUGGAUCUCAUAGCUGGGUACAACAUGAAGGAUAAAAGUGGCGUAACGGGAGAAUAGUAGACUGUAUUUUGCUGGAUGAUGCCAUGUAAAAUCACUUACUGCUUUUGUGUGCACAAGAUGUCAUGGGCUACAG